ACACUCCUGCGGGAGGCAGCAGUGGGGAAUAUCGCACAAUGGGCGCAAGCCUGAUGCAGCCAUGCCGCGUGUAUGAAGAAGGCCUUCGGGUUGUAAAGUACUUUCAGCGGGGAGGAAGGCGAUAAGGUUAAUAACCUUGUCGAUUGACGUUACCCGCAGAAGAAGCACCGGCUAACUCCGUGCCAGCAGCCGCGGUAAUACGGAGGGUGCAAGCGUUAAUCGGAAUUACUGGGCGUAAAGCGCACGCAGGCGGUCUGUCAAGUCGGAUGUGAAAUCCCCGGGCUCAACCUGGGAACUGCAUUCGAAACUGGCAGGCUAGAGUCUUGUAGAGGGGGGUAGAAUUCCAGGUGUAGCGGUGAAAUGCGUAGAGAUCUGGAGGAAUACCGGUGGCGAAGGCGGCCCCCUGGACAAAGACUGACGCUCAGGUGCGAAAGCGUGGGGAGCAAACAGGAUUAGAUACCCCUGUAGUCCCAUG
rnacentral:rRNA from 1 species